rnacentral:rRNA from 1 species
AAGCGAGUGUAGGUGGCUCAUUAAGUCACAUGUGAAAUCCCCGGGCUUAACCUGGGAACUGCAUGUGAUACUGGUGGUGCUAGAAUAUGUGAGAGGGAAGUAGAAUUCCAGGUGUAGCGGUGAAAUGCGUAGAGAUCUGGAGGAAUACCGAUGGCGAAGGCAGCUUCCUGGCAUAAUAUUGACACUGAGAUUCGAAAGCGUGGGUAGCAAACAGGAUUAGAUACCCUGGUAGUCAAGGGCG